ACCCCUGCCUGGCUUCCCUCUCUCACUCCCCUGCCCCCCACUCCCAGAGGCCUCUGUGUCCAAGAAGAAACGCAUGUGUGUGAAGCUGUUGCCCCUGGGAGCCGCGGACACGGCUGUGUUUGAUGUCCGGCUGAGUGGGAAGACCAAGACAGUGCCUGGAUACCUUCGAAUAGGGGACAUGGGCGGCUUUGCCAUCUGGUGCAAGAAGGCCAAGGCCCCCAGGCCAGUGCCCAAGCCCCGAGGUCUCAGCCGGGACAUGCAGGGCCUCUCUCUGGAUGCAGCCAGCCAGCCAAGGUGAGUCCUCAGGCACCGGAGUGGGGGUGGCCGUUGUGGGAGGAUGAGGCUUAACCUGAGUCAUCCCACCUCCAGUAAGGGCGGCCUCCUGGAGCGGACACCGUCAAGGCUGGGCUCUCGGGCAUCCACUCUGCGGAGGAAUGACUCCAUCUACGAGGCCUCCAGCCUCUAUGGCAUCUCAGCCAUGGAUGGGGUUCCCUUCACACUCCACCCACGAUUUGAGGGCAAGAGCUGCAGCCCCCUGGCCUUCUCUGCUUUUGGGGACCUGACCAUCAAGUCUCUGGCGGACAUUGAGGAGGAGUAUAACUACGGCUUCGUGGUGGAGAAGACCGCGGCUGCCCGCCUGCCCCCCAGCGUCUCAUAGUCCCUCACCCUUCCGCGGAAAGAGCCCCCUUACUCCACCUCCCCGCCAGCCUGGGGCCACCCCCCCUCACUGCAUCCUGGGAACCUUCGCCCUGCAAGGCGUUUGCUAUCUUCAGCCACUGGGCGGAGCUGCAGCCCUGGAGGAGGGGGCGGGUCGAGGCUGCGUGGUGAUGGGGUCUCCGCCUCCACGCCCUGCCGGGCAGGGCUGGAGCUGGACAGAAGCCAGUGCCUUUAAGUCAUUUGUGUCAAAACCCUCUGGGGUCCGGAGGCUGUGCGGGUGUCCUCCUGGCAAUAAACACU
rnacentral:sRNA from 1 species